GAAAGGCCGCGCCCCUCCGCCUCCCGGGGCGUCUCAGGACCGAGUCCCGACCGGCCGCGCGCCUGGAGGUGUCGGAGCUCCGAGGAUUUUCAGGUGCUGACUCGUUCUGAAGGACGGCGAGGCGCCUCUCCUCACGAGGGGCCCGAGCGCGCCAGCCUGGACUGCCCCGAGUCGGCGCCGCCGGCUGCGGAGAGGGCGACCACGUGGCCGGAGCGGGCCUCCGAGGGUUGAUUCCUGUAUGUGCCCUGACCGAUGAUUGAACCCG